rnacentral:rRNA from 1 species
AGAGUUUGAUCCUGGCUCAGAUUGAACGCUGGCGGCAGGCCUAACACAUGCAAGUCGAGCGGUAGAGAGAAGCUUGCUUCUCUUGAGAGCGGCGGACGGGUGAGUAAUGCCUAGGAAUCUGCCUGGUAGUGGGGGAUAACGUUCGGAAACGGACGCUAAUACCGCAUACGUCCUACGGGAGAAAGCAGGGGACCUUCGGGCCUUGCGCUAUCAGAUGAGCCUAGGUCGGAUUAGCUAGUUGGUGGGGUAAUGGCUCACCAAGGCGACGAUCCGUAACUGGUCUGAGAGGAUGAUCAGUCACACUGGAACUGAGACACGGUCCAGACUCCUACGGGAGGCAGCAGUGGGGAAUAUUGGACAAUGGGCGAAAGCCUGAUCCAGCCAUGCCGCGUGUGUGAAGAAGGUCUUCGGAUUGUAAAGCACUUUAAGUUGGGAGGAAGGGCAGUUACCUAAUACGUGAUUGUUUUGACGUUACCGACAGAAUAAGCACCGGCUAACUCUGUGCCAGCAGCCGCGGUAAUACAGAGGGUGCAAGCGUUAAUCGGAAUUACUGGGCGUAAAGCGCGCGUAGGUGGUUUGUUAAGUUGGAUGUGAAAUCCCCGGGCUCAACCUGGGAACUGCAUUCAAAACUGACUGACUAGAGUAUGGUAGAGGGUGGUGGAAUUUCCUGUGUAGCGGUGAAAUGCGUAGAUAUAGGAAGGAACACCAGUG